GAUGAAGAACGUAGCGAAAUGCGAUAAGUAAUGUGAAUUGCAGAAUUCAGUGAAUCAUCGAAUCUUUGAACGCACAUUGCGCCCUGUGGUAUUCCGCAGGGCAUGCCUGUUCGAGCGUCAUUUCAACCCUCAAGCUCUGCUUGGUGUUGGGCCACGCCCUCGCGGCCGGCCCCAAAGCCAGUGGCGGCGCCGUCCGGCUCUAAGCGUAGUACAUCUCUCGCUCUAGGGCCCGUCGGCUGCCUGCCAGAACCCCAAACUCUUAUGGUUGACCUCGGAUCAGGUAGGGAUACCCGCUGAACUUAAGCAUAUCAAUAAGCGGAGGA
rnacentral:misc_RNA from 1 species